GUGAGGAAUAUUGCGCAAUGGAGGCAACUCUGACGCAGCCAUGCCGCGUGCAGGAAGAAGGCGCUACGCGUUGUAAACUGCUUUUAACCGGGAAGAAACCCCAGGACGUGUCCUGGGUUGACGGUACCGGAGGAAUAAGCACCGGCUAACUUCGUGCCAGCAGCCGCGGUAAUACGAAGGGUGCAAGCGUUAUCCGGAUUCAUUGGGUUUAAAGGGUGCGUAGGCGGAGCGUUAAGUCAGGGGUGAAAUCCUGCAGCUUAACUGUAGACUUGCCAUUGAUACUGGCGCUCUUGAGUGCGCUUGAAGUUGGCGGAAUGUGCCGUGUAGCGGUGAAAUGCUUAGAUAUGGCACAGAACACCAAUUGCGAAGGCAGCUCACUAAGGCGAUACUGACGCUGAGGCACGAAAGCGUGGGGAUCGAACAGGAUUAGAAACCCUUGUAGUCC
rnacentral:rRNA from 1 species